CCUACGGGUGGCAGCAGUGGGGAAUAUUGGACAAUGGGGGGAACCCUGAUCCAGCCAUGCCGCGUGUGUGAAGAAGGCCCUCGGGUUGUAAAGCACUUUCAGUGAGGAAGAACGCCUGGUGGUUAAUACCCAUCAGGAAAGACAUCACUCACAGAAGAAGCACCGGCUAACUCCGUGCCAGCAGCCGCGGUAAUACGGAGGGUGCGAGCGUUAAUCGGAAUUACUGGGCGUAAAGCGCGCGUAGGUGGCUUGAUAAGCCGGUUGUGAAAGCCCCGGGCUCAACCUGGGAACGGCAUCCGGAACUGUCAAGCUAGAGUGCAGGAGAGGAAGGUAGAAUUCCCGGUGUAGCGGUGAAAUGCGUAGAGAUCGGGAGGAAUACCAGUGGCGAAGGCGGCCUUCUGGACUGACACUGACACUGAGGUGCGAAAGCGUGGGUAGCAAACAGGAUUAGAUACCCCUGUAGGUC
rnacentral:rRNA from 1 species